ACCCCAUGCGAUAAAGUCUGAGAAUAAAGUCAGAAUUCUGAGUUUAAAGUCAGAAAUUGGGAAGUCUGACUUUAUUCUCAGAAUUCUGACUUUAAAGUGGGAAUUCUGACUUUAAAGUCAGAAUUCUGAGAAUAAAGUCAGAAUUCUGAGAAAAAAAGUCAGAAUCCUGUCAC